rnacentral:rRNA from 1 species
GAUGAACGCUAGCGACAGGCCUAACACAUGCAAGUCGAGGGGCAGCAUUAUUAAAGCUUGCUUUAAUAGAUGGCGACCGGCGCACGGGUGCGUAACGCGUAUGCAACCUACCCAUUACAAGAGGAUAGCCCAGAGAAAUUUGGAUUAAUACUCUAUAGUAUUUACUCUAAGCAUUUAGAGUUUUUUAAAGGAUUCGUUCUGGUAAUGGAUGGGCAUGCGUAUGAUUAGCUAGUUGGUAGGGUAACGGCCUACCAAGGCAAUGAUCAUUAGGGGUUCUGAGAGGAUAGUCCCCCACACUGGUACUGAGACACGGACCAGACUCCUACGGGAGGCAGCAGUGAGGAAUAUUGGUCAAUGGACGCAAGUCUGAACCAGCCAAGUCGCGUGCAGGAAGACUGCCCUAUGGGUUGUAAACUGCUUUUAUAUAGGAAUAAUGUUAGUUACGCGUAACUAUUUGAAUGUACUAUAUGAAUAAGCACCGGCUAACUCCGUGCCAGCAGCCGCGGUAAUACGGGGGGUGCAAGCGUUAUCCGGAUUUAUUGGGUUUAAAGGGUGCGUAGGCGGGUUCAUAAGUCAGUGGUGAAAGUCUGUCGCUUAACGAUAGAAUUGCCAUUGAAACUGUGGAUCUUGAAUACAGUAGAGGUAGGCGGAAUAUAUUGUGUAGCGGUGAAAUGCAUAGAUACGAUAUAGAACACCGAUUGCGAAGGCAGCUUACUAUGCUGAGAUUGACGCUGAUGCACGAAAGCGUGGGUAGCGAACAGG